AUCUAAAUAGUUUAAUUUUAAAAUAUUGGUUUGUGGUGCCGAUGAUACAGGUUUGUGUUUUAGGUU
rnacentral:tRNA from 1 species